rnacentral:rRNA from 1 species
CCUACGGGAGGCAGCAGUGGGGAAUAUUGGGCAAUGGGCGCAAGCCUGACCCAGCAACGCCGCGUGAAGGAAGAAGGCUUUCGGGUUGUAAACUUCUUUUCUCAGGGACGAAGCAAGUGACGGUACCUGAUGAAUAAGCCCCGGCUAACUACGUGCCAGCAGCCGCGGUAAUACGUAGGUGGCAAGCGUUAUCCGGAUUUACUGGGUGUAAAGGGCGUGUAGGCGGGAAAGCAAGUCAGAUGUGAAAACCAUGGGCUCAACCUGUGGCCUGCAUGUGAAACUGUUUUUCUUGAGUACUGGAGAGGCAGACGGAAUUCCUAGUGUAGCGGUGAAAGGCGUAGAUAGUAGGAGGAACACCAGUGGCGAAGGCGGUCUGCUGGACAGCAACUGACGCUGAGGCGCGAAAGCGUGGGGAGCAAACAGGAUUAGAUACCCCAGUAGUC